rnacentral:rRNA from 1 species
GAAGGUUGGUACUUGUACCAACUGGAUGAGCAGCGAACGGGUGAGUAACGCGUGGGGAAUCUGCCUUUGAGCGGGGGACAACAUUUGGAAACGAAUGCUAAUACCGCAUAAAAACUUUAAACACAAGUUUUAAGUUUGAAAGAUGCAAUUGCAUCACUCAAAGAUGAUCCCGCGUUGUAUUAGCUAGUUGGUGAGGUAAAGGCUCACCAAGGCGAUGAUACAUAGCCGACCUGAGAGGGUGAUCGGCCGCAUUGGGAGUGAGACACGGCCCAAACUCCUACGGGAGGCAGCAGUAGGGAAUCUUCGGCAAUGGACGAAAGUCUGACCGAGCAACGCCGCGUGAGUGAAGAAGGUUUUCGGAUCGUAAAACUCCUGUUGGUAGAGAAGAACCGUUGGUGAGAGUGGAAAGCAUCA